AACGUAGGAGACAAACGUUAUCCGGAGUUACUGGGCGUAAAGGGCGUGUAGGUGGUUUCGUAAGUCUGGCGUGAAAUUUUUCGGCUUAACCGGGAAAGGUCGUCGGAUACUGCGGGACUAGAGGACGGUAGAGGCGUGUGGAAUCCGGGUGUAGUGGUGAAAUGCGUAGAGAUCCGGAGGAACACCAGUGGCGAAGGCGAAGACCUGGCCGACAUUGACGCUGAGGCGCGAAGCCAGGGGAGCAAACGGG
rnacentral:rRNA from 1 species